rnacentral:rRNA from 1 species
CACGCUGUAAACUAUGGGUACUAGACGUCGGGAGUUCUUACCCUCUCGGUGUCGUAGCUAACGCGUUAAGUACCCCGCCUGGGAAGUACGGUCGCAAGAUUAAAACUCAAAGAAAUUGACGGGGGCCCGCACAAGCGGUGGAGUAUGUGGUUUAAUUCGACGCAACGCGAAAAACCUUACCUAGGCUUGACAUCCUACGCUAUCCUGUGAAAGCAGGAGUUCCCGCAAGGGACGUAGAGACAGGUGU